UGGGGAAUAUUGCACAAUGGGGGAAACCCUGAUGCAGCGACGCCGCGUGAACGAAGAAGGUAUUCGUAUCGUAAAGUUCUGUCCUAUGGGAAGAUAAUGACAGUACCAUAGAAGAAAGCUCCGGCUAAAUACGUGCCAGCAGCCGCGGUAAUACGUAUGGAGCGAGCGUUGUCCGGAAUUAUUGGGCGUAAAGGGUACGCAGGCGGUUUAAUAAGUCGAAUGUUAAAGAUCGGGGCUCAACCCCGCAAAGCAUUGGAAACUGAUAAACUUGAGUAGUGGAGAGGAAAGUGGAAUUCCUAGUGUAGUGGUGAAAUACGUAGAUAUUAGGAGGAAUGCCAGUAGCGAAGGCGACUUUCUGGACACAAACUGACGCUGAGGUACGAAAGCGUGGGGAGCAAACAGG
rnacentral:rRNA from 1 species